GGAGAUUUUCCUCUGCUGCAGGUGCACACAAGUAACACACCCAGGACAUUCCAGUGUAUCCAGUAGUGAGAAUCUGAUCCUAGAACAUGAGGAGAUUAAGGCUUUCAACCAGGAACAUUCCCAGGACCUCAAUAUCAGAUGAUCUGCUUCCAAAGACAAAGCUGUCCUUUCAGCAGCGCUAUGCACUCCCUUCAGCAACAGUGUUUUCUUAUUUGAAAAAUGCCAUCUUUUCCUUACAUUAGAUUCACCAUGGUAAUACACCCUUCAAAGUGCUACAUAUGUCUUUGAACCUACUGAGACAAAGGAGGGAUAUGAAAUGAAGUUCUUCAUGCUCUGCAUUCAACCUCCAGAAUGUUGCAAGAAAAAUUGCCACUGAAAAGCAACGCCAGCAGCCCAGCUUUGAAUGUGACUCUGCCAACAUGCUGGAAGUUAGAUACAAGAAUAUUUAUCAUUCCUAGGAUUUAGUGGAUUUACAAGUGGAAACCUUACUAGAGGUGUUUGCUGAGCUUUACUGUGACUCUGCUCAGAUUUGUAAAAUUGAGCUGGAUUUUCCCAUACUUAGACCCUUUCCAUGUCUGGAAAAUAAGAAUAGUAAACUGCUAGCAUGUGCAGUUUUCAUUCUUUCCAGCAAAGUGAUUUUAAGGAUCAAAGUUCUUUACUGUGAUGCUGAAAUUCUUCUCCUUCCUGCGUUUUUGGAGCUGUGUCUUAGUCUGUAGGAUUAGUUUCUUUUUUGUCUGGCCUAGAUCACACUGAUCCUGUCCUGCAGGGAGUACAAGCCAAAUUUAAUAAUUUUCCCCAGCUUUGCUUAGGAUUUGGACAUGGGAGCAGCUUCUAACACUUAUUCAGUGUUACGCUUGGACAAAAGCAAAUAAGAUAAUCUCUUUCAAAACCUGUGACAAGAACAGUUUAUAAACUAGCAAAAUGUAAAAGCAAAGUCUACGUAUCCUACCAAACUAAUAUUUCUACCCCUCUGA